CACAGUCAUUGGCAUAAAACGUAAUAUAUAACUUUAUACGAUUACUAAGAAUUACGAAAAUCGAUGAACUCAAUAACGCUUUGUUCGUACCCGACACUUUCCGUGUCGUAAAUAAUAUUUAACUAACAAAAAAAAGACAUGACUUCCAAAAUCGUAGUUGCGUUAAUAAAUUAUCCGGGGGACAUUGUUCAAAGUAAAUCGCGGCCCGUCAAAACCUCACACCGCGCUGAGCCCGUCACUGCCGUCAACAAUGGCUACGUGUCCCCGUCACUGUCCCAUUGUCGUCCACAAUCGUGACAGACAAACAGAAUGUACCGUCCGAGCUUCCUGCGCUUUCAAAACGGCGGAAUUGUGUAAACACCACUAUAUUUGAGUGGUAGAAGUGUGUGCGGGUAAUGGAUUGGCCGAUUGUCGGCCGUCGCUCGAGUGGCGGUGGGUGGUCAUUUCACGUCGGCAGCUUUACAUCAUCGUUUGAAAAGAACACAAAGGGCGAAUAUUAAAUGAACGCUCGUAAUAAUAACAAGACAAUUUUGAAGGCAACCAUUGAACAGUGUUCAAGACACUACGACAGUACGACAAGUCGCACUUACCCGCGACUGUAACAAAGCAAGUCGCAGUCGCGUGUCGCUGCGACAACUGUUGACAGCGCGCGCCAUUACUUCCGUCGCCGCCUUCCGCCUGUCAAGCAAUGAUCGAUAGUGAGGGGAGCCUGUCGAUAUCGAAGAAACAUACAUUAUAUUAUUACAAAAUAGUCUUUGAUGCCAAUAUGCGUCGGUAUUAUUGUAACACAAAGGAAGUGCUCUUUUUUGUAUUUGUACGAUUCUGUGGGUGCUGAGUUAGUGGAUUGUGGUUGUGGGUGGUCGAAAAUAUAGAGUUACAAUGCGUAGGUAAUACUUUCUGUAAUAAUUUG